rnacentral:rRNA from 2 species
UCGAACGCGUUGGCCCAAUUGAUUGAUGGUGCUUGCMCYURAUUGAUUUUGGUCGCCAACGAGUGGCGGACGGGUGAGUAACACGUAGGUAACCUGCCCAGAAGCGGGGGACAACAUUUGGAAACAGAUGCUAAUACCGCAUAACAACGUUGUUCGCAUGAACAACGCUUAAAAGAUGGCUUCUCGCUAUCACUUCUGGAUGGACCUGCGGUGCAUUAGCUUGUUGGUGGGGUAAYGGCCUACCAAGGCGAUGAUGCAUAGCCGAGUUGAGAGACUGAUCGGCCACAAUGGGACUGAGACACGGCCCAUACUCCUACGGGAGGCAGCAGUAGGGAAUCUUCCACAAUGGGCGCAAGCYUGAUGGAGCAACACCGCGUGAGUGAAGAAGGGUUUCGGCUCGUAAAGCUCUGUUGUUAAAGAAGAACACGUAUGAGAGUAACUGUUCAUACGUUGACGGUAUUUAACCAGAAAGUCACGGCUAACUACGUGCCAGCMGCCGCG